UGGGGAAUCUUGCGCAAUGGGCGAAAGCCUGACGCAGCGACGCCGCGUGGGGGAUGAAGACCUUAGGGUCGUAAACCCCUUUCAGCAGGGACGAAGAUGACGGUACCUGCAGAAGAAGCCCCGGCCAACUACGUGCCAGCAGCCGCGGUAAGACGUAGGGGGCGAGCGUUGUCCGGAAUUAUUGGGCGUAAAGGGCUCGUAGGCGGUUCGGUAAGUCGGAUGUGAAAACUUAGGGCUCAACCCUGAGACGCCAUCCGAUACUGCUGUGACUUGAGUUCGGUAGAGGAGUGUGGAAUUCCUGGUGUAGCGGUGAAAUGCGCAGAUAUCAGGAGGAACACCUACGGCGAAGGCAGGCACUCUGGGCCGAAACUGACGCUGAGGAGCGAAAGCGUGGGUAGCAAACAGGAUUAGAUACCCUGGCAGUCCAUGCCGUAAACGUUGGGAACUAGGUGUGGGUCUCAUUCCACGAGAUCCGUGCCGCAGCUAACGCAUUAAGUUCCCCG
rnacentral:rRNA from 1 species